rnacentral:rRNA from 1 species
AGGGUAUGAUACUGGCUCAGAACGAACGCUGGCAGCGUGCCUUACACAUGCAAGUCGAGCGCGAAAGUUGGCUUCGGCCAGCGAGUAGAGCGGCGUAAGGGUGAGUAACGCGUGAGUUAACUACCCUGGGGGGUGGGAUAACGGCGGCCGGCUAGUCCGGCCCUCUGGCGAAAGUGCCGCUAAUACCGCAUGCUGAACUUCCGGCACCUACUUACUCGUAAGCAGGCCGCCGGGAAUUUGAAAGGUCGCAGGACUUGUCCUGUUGUCCGCCCCAGGAGGUGCUCGCGUCCUAUUAGCUAGUUGGUGGGGUAAUGGCCUACCAAGGCGACGAUGGGUAGCCGGCGUGAGAGCGUGGCCGGCCACACUGGAACUGAGACACUGUCCAGAGCCCUACGGGGUGCUGCAGUGGGGAAUAUUGCACAAUGCGCGAAAGCGUGAUGCAGCGACGCUGCGUGUGGGAAGAAGGCCUUCGGGUUGUAAACCACUGUCAGGGGUUAUGAAGUCCAUAGGGAGAAAUUUCUAUGGUUGACAGAGGCCCCAAAGGAAGCCAUGGCUAACUCCGUGCCAGCAGCCGCGGUAAUACGGAGAUGGCAAGCGUUGUUCGGAAUCACUGGGCGUAAAGCGCGCGUAGGCGGUCGGGUAAGUUGGAUGUUGAAUCACCGGGCUCAACCCGGUAACGCCGUCCAAUACUGCCCGACUAGAGGUCGGUAGGGGAGAGUGGAACUCCUGGUGGAGUGGUGAAAUGCGUAGAUAUCAGGAGGAACGUCGGCGGCGAAGGCGACUCUCUGGGCCGAUUCUGACGCUGAGGUGCGAAAGCUAGGGUAGCGAACGGGAUUAGAUACCCCGGUAGUCCUAGCCGUAAACGAUGGGUACUUGGUAGUGGGACUAUGUUUCACUGCCGGAGCUAACGCGUUAAGUACCCCGCCUGGGUAGUACGACCGCAAGGUUAAAACUCAAAGUAAUUGACGGGGGCUCGCACAAGCGGUGGAGCACGCGCCUUAAUUCGAGGCUACGCGAGGAACCUUACCAGGGUUUGACAUGCUAGUGGUACGGACCCGAAAGGGCGAGGACCACGGGUAAGCCGUGGAGCUAGCACAGGUGUUGCAUGGCUGUCGUCAGCUCGUGUCGUGAGAUGUUAGGUUAAGUCCUAUAACGAGCGAAACCCCUGUCUCUAGUUGCUAGCGGGUAAUGCCGAGGACUCUAGAGAGACUGCCGGUGAUAAAC